rnacentral:misc_RNA from 1 species
CCAAGCUGAGAGGGUCGCCGUUGCCGGAGGGCAAACCCCCCCUAAAAGGGAGGAGGGCGGGGGCGCUUGUCGCCCUCUAGCCCUCCCUCCGGCACUCGGGUCCCUCGAACCCCCCACCCUUGUCCACUUCUACCUUUGUUGCCUCGGCGGGUCCGCCCGCCAGAGGACCACAACCAAAACUCUUGUUAAGAAACAACGUCCUGUCUGAGCUAUAGCAAAAGCAAUAGUUUA